rnacentral:misc_RNA from 1 species
UCUUUUCACCUUCACUCGUCGUUCGUGGCCCGGAAUUCGGGAAGGAAACGUCCUGCCUGUCGC